rnacentral:rRNA from 1 species
CCUACGGGUGGCAGCAGUGGGGAAUAUUGGACAAUGGGGGGAACCCUGAUCCAGCCAUGCCGCGUGUGUGAAGAAGGCCCUCGGGUUGUAAAGCACUUUCAGUGAGGAAGAACGCCUGGUGGUUAAUACCCAUCAGGAAAGACAUCACUCACAGAAGAAGCACCGGCUAACUCCGUGCCAGCAGCCGUGGUAAUACGGAGGGUGCGAGCGUUAAUCGGAAUUACUGGGCGUAAAGCGCGCGUAGGUGGCUUGAUAAGCCGGUUGUGAAAGCCCCGGGCUCAACCUGGGAACGGCAUCCGGAACUGUCAAGCUAGAGUGCAGGAGAGGAAGGUAGAAUUCCCGGUGUAGCGGUGAAAUGCGUAGAGAUCGGGAGGAAUACCAGUGGCGAAGGCGGCCUUCUGGACUGACACUGACACUGAGGUGCGAAAGCGUGGGUAGCAAACAGGAUUAGAUACCCCUGUAGUC